rnacentral:rRNA from 1 species
UACGGAGGGGGCUAGCGUUGUUCGGAAUUACUGGGCGUAAAGCGCACGUAGGCGGCUUUGUAAGUUAGAGGUGAAAGCCCGGAGCUCAACUCCGGAACUGCCAUUGAAACUGUGAAACUUGAGGACGAGAGAGGUGAGUGGAAUUCCCAGUGUAGAGGUGAAAUUCGUAGAUAUUCGGAAGAACACCAGUGGCGAAGGCGGCUCACUGGCCCGGUACUGACGCUGAGGUGCGAAAGCGUGGGGAGCAAACAGG